rnacentral:rRNA from 1 species
UGGGGAAUAUUGCACAAUGGGGGAAACCCUGAUGCAGCGACGCCGCGUGAGCGAAGAAGUAUUUCGGUAUGUAAAGCUCUAUCAGCAGGGAAGAAACUGACGGUACCUGACCAAGAAGCACCGGCUAAAUACGUGCCAGCAGCCGCGGUAAUACGUAUGGUGCAAGCGUUAUCCGGAUUUACUGGGUGUAAAGGGAGCGUAGACGGAUAGGCAAGUCUGGAGUGAAAACCCGGGGCUCAACCCCGGGACUGCUUUGGAAACUGUUUAUCUGGAGUGCUGGAGAGGUAAGUGGAAUUCCUAGUGUAGCGGUGAAAUGCGUAGAUAUUAGGAGGAACACCAGUGGCGAAGGCGGCUUACUGGACAGUAACUGACGUUGAGGCUCGAAAGCGUGGGGAGCAAACA